UACGAAGGGGCUAGCGUUGCUCGGAAUCACUGGGCGUAAAGGGUGCGUAGGCGGGUUUUAAGUCAGGGUGAAAUCCUGGAGCUCAACUCCAGAACUGCCUUUGAUACUGAAGAUCUUGAGUCCGGGAGAGGUGAGUGGAACUGCGAGUGUAGAGGUGAAAUUCGUAGAUAUUCGCAAAGAACACCCAGUGGCGAAGGCGGCUCACUGGCCCGAUACUGACGCUGAGGCACGGAAAGCGUGGGGAGCAAA
rnacentral:rRNA from 1 species